ensembl:snoRNA
AGGAUAUAUCAAAGAGACUUUCUAGGGCUGUGAAACCAGGAUCUCGUAAUGCUAUGACCAAAGAUUGAAAUUUUGCAUAGGAUACCAUAGUCACUCAGUAGUGCUGUUUUCCUGAGGAAAUACAAGA